GCCUGGGUGGCACAGCGGUUGAGCGUCUGCCUUCGGCUCAGGGCGUGAUCCCGGCGUUAUGGGAUCGAACCCCAUAUCAGGCU
rnacentral:tRNA from 1 species